rnacentral:rRNA from 1 species
AUGUCUGAAUGGAUCUUCAAAGUGCCCGCCAGGCACCACGAACGGCUUGGGCCGCCUCCCUGCCAAGCGUACGAUAUCCGGCCGUUUUGUGACCCAUCGUGGCCGACCUGUGAAAGAUCAAUCGUGCACGCGGGAAGUGACAACUGUUGUGAAAAACACAGCAGCCGGGACGUAAAAGAGCGAGAGAAGAUGGCGGAGGAAGCGAAGCAGGAUGUGGCGCCACCCGCGCCGGAGCCGACCGAGGACGUCGCGGACGAGAAGGCGGCGGUUCCGUCGCCGGAGGAGUCUAAGGCCCUCGUUGUCGCCGAGAAUGACGCUGAGAAGCCUGCAGCUACAGGGGGCUCACACGAACGAGAUGCUCUGCUCACGAGGGUCGCGACCGAGAAGAGGAUUUCGCUGAUCAAGGCAUGGGAGGAGAACGAGAAGGCCAAAGCCGAGAACAAGGCCGUGAAGUUGCUGGCGGACAUCACCUCGUGGGAGAACUCCAAGGCCGCGGAACUGGAAGCCGAGCUCAAGAAGAUGCAAGAGCAGCUGGAGAAGAAGAAGGCGCGCUGCGUGGAGAAGCUCAAGAACAGCGCCGCGACGGUGCACAAAGAGGCGGAGGAGAAGCGUGCCGCGGCGGAAGCGCGGCACGGCGAGGAGAUCGUCGCGGCGGAGGAGACCGCCGCCAAGUACCGCGCCAAGGGUGAGGCGCCGAAGAAGCUGCUCUUCGGCAGAGGAUAG